AGCGCGGUGGGAUAGAUGGUCAAGUCCGCUGGGCUCAUAACCCAGAGAUCGGUGGUUCAAAUCCACCCCGCGCUACCA
rnacentral:tRNA from 1 species